rnacentral:snRNA from 1 species
AUGCUCAUUUCAGCAGCACACCUACUAAAUUAAAGCAAUACAGAGAAGAUUAGCAUGGCCUCCUGCUGCUGCUGCAAGGAUGACAAGAAAAUUUGUGAAGUGUGCUAAAUAGUU